CAUUGAGAUGUCAAUUAGGUGCUAUUUUAUUUGGUUAUGGCGGGAAACUCUUUUAAGGCAUUUCGUUACUUUACACGAACUAUCUAGUGAUUGCUGCAGAAAUGGAAGUAGAAACUGCUGCAUUAUACCACUCAGAAUUGUGGUUUGAAAUUGAAGACUUGAAAAACAGUUCCAUGGAUAUUAAUAAAAUUGAAAAAUAACUAAAUUUUCUUCUCCUUG